GCCUCGGACUUGAAGGAACGGGCAUACCAGAGAGACGGACGAUCGAGUUUUUUUGAAAGGUGCAUAUUAAAAAGAUGGAUAGUCUUCUUAAUACUUGCGGAAAUUAUGCAUUAUUAUCUCACUGCCAUUGCUUAUUUUACUAAUCAUUUCCUUUCAAUGCCAACAUUGUUUCAAAGUCAUCCGAAUUUGAGCUACCAUCUAACUUCUGCUAAUGGGGAUUUUCUACAAAUAUUUUAAAGUGGAAUUCAAAAACAAAAAGCAUUGAUGAUGAAAAAAAUCCAGCCAAGUCAAAGAAAAUUGUGGACAGAAUAAAGAAUUCUUGAAAUGAAGAAUGGAAAGUUUUUAAAAAAGUGCAGGUUUAAGGUAAAAGAAAGAAGAAAUAGAAACGCUCGCAGUGUACUUUCAAGAUACAGAUUAAAUAUACAAACCAAAAGAAAUAAUACACAUGCAUUUCUGGAAUUUCCCGAUUAAUUUUUUACAUGCUGUU